AUGGCUCCUCAUGCAGAGCUGCUCAGAGACAUCCCAGAGAAACACAUGUGUUCAAGGCUGGAGCCAGCUGACCGACGGGACACUGUAGGAUGCUCCGCGAUGUCCUAGGGAAAACCUUCCGCUUUCUGGGCUACACUGUGCAGUAUGGCUGCAUAGCACACUGUGCCUUUGAGUACCUUGGAGGAAUUGUUGUGUGUUCUGGACCUUCAAUGGAACCAACCAUUCAAAAUUCUGAUGUUGUGUUCUCGGAGAACCUGAGCCGCCACUUUUAUUGCAUCCGAAAAGGAGAUAUUGUAAUUGUGAAAAGCCCAACUGACCCCAAAUCAAAUAUCUGUAAAAGAGUAAUUGGCUUGGAAGGGGAUAAAGUCUGCACAAGCAACCCUUCAGAUUUCCUUAAGAGUCACAGCUAUCUGCCCCGCAGACAACCGGUUCUGCCUGAGAACUGCUGCUCCUUGGAAAUAAAUCCUCGGAUAAUCUGCACAAAACCAGAGGCACAGGGGUUGCUCAGGCAAAGGGAGGAGUCUGCAGACAAUCAGAGGUUUGCACAGCUUUGCAGUGUUUUAGAUUGGGUCCUGAUUCUGCAAAGGUUGAUACUCCAACUGAACUUUAUUCCAUGUUGUAGUGAAGUGCCUAGAUGGUGGACAGACACCACACAAAGGUGCCUAAAGGACAUGUUUGGUUAGAAGGUGAUAAUCUCAGGAAUUCUACAGAUUCCAGGUGCUACGGACCCGUUCCUUACGGACUGAUAAGAGGACGCAUUUGUCUUAAGCUUUGGCCUCUGAAUGACUUUGGAUUUCUCCGUGCAAGCCCCAACGGCCACAGAUUUCUUGACGAUUAAAAGAUUUAAGUUACUCUGGCCGGUUUUCGUAAUAUUUUCUACUAAAACUGAUGGAACUAUUUUUGUUUAGAAUAAACACAGAGAUUACUUGACA